rnacentral:rRNA from 1 species
AGAGUUUGAUCAUGGCUCAGGACGAACGCUGGCGGCGUGGAUUAGGCAUGCAAGUCGAACGGUAUAAACCUUUCGGGGUUUAGAGAGUGGCGAACGGGUGAGUAACACGUAGGUAAUCUACCCUCAAAACGGGGACAACCCAGGGAAACUUGGGCUAAUACCGGAUGCGUGCAAACAAUGUUUUGGCUGCUGUAAUUGUUCACGGAAGUGAAUAGUUAUGAGAGUUCAGAGCAUAAUUUGCAUAAAAGAUGACGUAAGCUGUUGUUUGAGGAUGAGCCUGCGUCCUAUUAGUUAGUUGGUGAGGUAAUAGCUUACCAAGGCGAUGAUAGGUAGGCGGCCUUAACGGGUGGUCGCCCACACUGGGAUUGAGAUACGGCCCAGACUCCUACGGGAGGCAGCAGUCGAGAAUAGUCUACAAUGGACGAAAGUCUGAUAGUGCGACGCCGCGUGAACGAAGAAUCCUUUCGGGGUGUAAAGUUCUUUUCUAUGUGAGCAGUUCCUUUUAUAUGAAGAGUAUAGGAGGCGGGAUUUAAGCAUAGGAAUAAGCAACGGCUAACUCCGUGCCAGCAGCCGCGGUAACACGGGGGUUGCAAGCGUUGUCCGGAAUUACUAGGCGUAAAGUGCAGGUAGGCGGAUAGAUAAGUUUAAGGUUAAAGGCUACGGCUUAACCGUAGUAAGGCGUUAGAUACUGUUUAUCUGGAAUGCGGUUGAGGGAGACAGAAUUCCUGGUGUAGCGGUGGAAUGCGCAGAGAUCAGGAGGAAUACCGAAGGCGAAGGCAGUCUUCUAAGCCGAAAUUGACGCUAAACUGCGAAGGUGUGGGGAUCAAACAGGAUUAGAUACCCUGGUAGUCCACACAGUAAACGAUAAUCACUAGGUGUUGGGUUCGUAUAGGACUCGGUGCCGGAGCUAACGCGAUAAGUGAUUCGCCUGGGGAGUACGAUCGCAAGGUUGAAACUCAAAGGAAUUGACGG